AGAGUUUGAUCAUGGCUCAGAAUCAACGCUGGCGGCGCGCUUAACACAUGCAAGUCGAACGAGAAAGGGUAGCAAUACCUGAGUAAAGUGGCGUACGGGUGAGUAACACGUGGGUCAUAUACCUUUUAGUGGGGAAUACCUCUGGGAAACUAGAGACAAUACCGCAUAAUCCCGAGAGGGGAAAGCAGCAAUGCGCUGAAAGAGUAGCCCGCGGCUGAUUAGCUAGUUGGUGAGGUAAUGGCUCACCAAGGCUGUGAUCGGUAGCCGGCCUGAGAGGGCACACGGCCACACUGGCACUGAAACACGGGCCAGACUCCUACGGGAGGCAGCAGUGGGGAAUUUUGGACAAUGGGCGCAAGCCUGAUCCAGCCAUUCCGCGUGAGUGAAGAAGGCCUUCGGGUUGUAAAGCUCUUUCAGCAGGAACGAAACGGUGGGUCUUAAUACGGCCUGCUAAUGACGGUACCUGCAGAAGAAGCACCGGCUAACUACGUGCCAGCAGC
rnacentral:rRNA from 1 species